CCCUUAGAUGUUCUGGGCAGCACGCGCGCUACACUGACGAAGUCAGCGAGCAUCUCCUACGCCGAAAGGUGCGGGGAAUCUUGUGAAACUUUGUCGUGCUGGGGAUUGAUUUUUGAAAUUCUUGAUCAUCAACGAGGAAUUCCUAGUAAGCGCAAGUCAGCAGCUUGCGUUGAUUACGUCCCUGCCCUUUGUACACACCGCCCGUCGCUACUACCGAUUGAAUGGUUUAGUGAGAUUUUUGGACUGGAACUCUCUUGUUCAGCAAUGAACGAGAGGGACUCUGGGAAGCUAUUCUAACUGUAUCAUUUAGAGGAAGUAAAAGUCGUAACA
rnacentral:rRNA from 1 species